rnacentral:tRNA from 1 species
CCCCGGCUAGCUCAAUUGGUAGAGCGCUCCACCUGUAAUGGAGAGGUCCCGGGUUCGAUACCCGGACCAGGCG